GACGAACGCUGGCGGCGUGCUUAACACAUGCAAGUCGAACGGAAAGGCCCUGCUUUUGUGGGGUGCUCGAGUGGCGAACGGGUGAGUAACACGUGAGUAACCUGCCCUUGACUUUGGGAUAACUUCAGGAAACUGGGGCUAAUACCGGAUAGGAGCUCCUGCUGCAUGGUGGGGGUUGGAAAGGUUCGGCGGUUGGGGAUGGACUCGCGGCUUAUCAGCUUGGUGGUGGGGUAGUGGCUUACCAAGGCGUUGACGGGUAGCCGGCCUGAGAGGGUGACCGGCCACAUUGGGACUGAGAUACGGCCCAGACUCCUACGGGAGGCAGCAGUGGGGAAUAUUGCACAAUGGGCGGAAGCCUGAUGCAGCAACGCCGCGUGCGGGAUGACGGCCUUCGGGUUGUAAACCGCUUUCGCCUGUGACGAAGCGUGAGUGACGGUAAUGGGUAAAGAAGCACCGGCUAACUACGUG
rnacentral:rRNA from 1 species